CAAGAAGCCGAAAGGCUACUUAAAACCAUCGCGAACUUAUCCAAGUUGCUUCGGCGGGCGCGGCUCCCCCUCACGGGGGACCGCAGCCCCCCGCCUCUCAGGAGGUAAGGGGCAGCCGCCGGAGGUACGAAACUCUGUAUUAUAGUGGUAUCUCUGAGUAUAAAACAAAUAAGUUUA
rnacentral:misc_RNA from 1 species